CGGGAUGUAGCGCAGCUUGGUAGCGCACCUGCUUCGGGAGCAGGGGGUCGCUAGUUCGAAUCUAGUCAUCCCGACCA
rnacentral:tRNA from 1 species